CCUACGGGUGGCUGCAGUGAGGAAUAUUGGUCAAUGGGCGCGAGCCUGAACCAGCCAAGUCGCGUGAGGGAAGACGGUCCUAUGUAUUGUAAACCUCUUUUGUCGGGGAGCAAACACUGCCACGCGUCGCGUUACGAGAGUACCCGAAGAAAAAGCAUCGGCUAACUCCGUGCCAGCAGCCGCGGUAAUACGGAGGAUGCGAGCGUUAUCCGGAUUUAUUGGGUUUAAAGGGUGCGCAGGCGGUAGAUGAAGUCAGCGGUAAAAUCGAGAGGCUCAACCUCUUCCAGCCGUUGAUACUUGUUUUAUCGAGUGGGAGAGAAGUAUGCGGAAUGCGUGGUGUAGCGGUGAAAUGCAUAGAUAUCACGCAGAACUCCGAUUGCGAAGGCAGCAUACCGGCGCUCAACUGACGCUCAAGCACGAAAGUGUGGGUAUCGAACAGGAUUAGAUACCCGAGUAGUC
rnacentral:rRNA from 1 species